rnacentral:rRNA from 1 species
CGAACGCGAUGUCUUCGGACAUUGAGUGGCGAACGGGUGCGUAACACGUAGGUAACUUGCCUGAAAGUGGGGGACAACCAUUGGAAACGAUGGCUAACACCACAUGAACUUGCUUCGGUAAGAAAAGGGUCCUCGGACCCGCUUUCAGAGAGGCCUGCGGCCUAUCAGGUAGUUGGUGGGGUAAUGGCCUACCAAGCCUUUGACGGGUAGCUGACCUGAGAGGGUGGUCAGCCACAGGGGAACUGAGACACGGUCCCCACUCCUACGGGAGGCAGCAGUGAGGAAUAUUGCACAAUGGGGGAAACCCUGAUGCAGCAAUGCCGCGUGUAGGAUGAAGCCUCUAGGGGUGUAAACUACUUUUAAGAGGGAGCAGACAAGGAGCGUACCUCUUGAAUAAGUCACGGCUAACUACGUGCCAGCAGCCGCGGUAAUACGUAGGUGGCGAACGUUAUCCGGAAUCACUGGGCGUAAAGGGUCCGCAGGUGGUCUUAAAGGUCUGGCGUGAAAUCAUCUGGCUCAACCAGAUGCCGCCGUUGGAAACCAUGAGACUAGGUUCACGCAGAGGUCGGUGGAAUUCCCGGUGUAGUGGUGGAAUGCGUAGAUAUCGGGAGGAACCCCUAAAGCGAAGGCAGCCGGCUGGGCGAUGAACGACACUGAGGGACGAAAGCGUAGGUAGCGAACAGGAUUAGAUACCCUGGUAGUCUACGCCGUAAACGAUGUGUGCUCGGUGUGUGUUUGUAAAAGGAUGCGCGCCCAAGCUAACGCGUUAAGCACACCGCCUGGGGAGUACGGCCGCAAGGCUAAAACUCAAAGGAAUUGACGGGGGCCCGCACAAGCAGCGGAGCGUGUGGUUUAAUUCGAUGCAACGCGAAGAACCUUACCUGGGUUUGACAUGAUACUAGUAGGGAUUCGAAAGAUGACCGACCUCCGGGAGGUAUCACAGGUGCUGCAUGGCUGUCGUCAGCUCGUGCCGUGAGGUGUUGGGUUAAGUCUCGCAACGAGCGCAACCCCUGUCGUAUGUUUUAUGUGUCAUACGAGACUGCCUACUAUGUAGGAGGAAGGUGGGGACGACGCCAAGUCAGCAUGGCCUUUAUAUCCAGGGCUACUCACACGCUACAAUGGAAUGUACAAUUGGAAGCGACAGGGCAACCUGAAGCGGAUCUGUAAAGCAUUUCUCAGUUCGGAUUGGAGUCUGCAACUCGACUCCAUGAAGGUGGAGUUGCUAGUAACCGCGCGUCAGCAUAGUGCGGUGAAUGCGUUCCCGGGCCUUGUACACACCGCCCGUCACGUCAUGAAAGUCGGUAACACCUGAAGUCGGGUAGCUAACUUUAACGAGAUGCGCUUGCCGAGGGUGGGACUGGUAAUUGGGACGAAGUCGAAACAAGGUA